UUUAAACUUGAGAGUUUGAUCAUGGCUCAGAAUGAACGCUGGCGGCACGCUUAACACAUGCAAGUCGAACGGGAUCUUCGGAUCUAGUGGCAGACGGGUGAGUAACGCGUGGGAACCUGCCCAGUAGUAGAGAAUAACUUGAGGAAACUUAAGCUAAUACUUUAUACACCCUUCGGGGAAAAGCUUUAUGCGCUAUUGGAUGGGCCCGCGUUAGAUUAGUUUGUUGGUGAGGUAAUGGCUCACCAAGACUACGAUCUAUAGCUGGUCUGAGAGGAUGAUCAGCCACACUGGGACUGAGACACGGCCCAGACUCCUACGGGAGGCAGCAGUGGGGAAUAUUGGACAAUGGGGGCAACCCUGAUCCAGCGAUGCCGCGUGAGUGAUGAAGGCCUUCGGGUUGUAAAACUCUUUCGUCAGGGAAGAUAAUGACGGUACCUGAAGAAGAAGAUCCGGCUAACUCCGUGCCAGCAGCCGCGGUAAUACGGAGGGAUCUAGCGUUAUUCGGAAUUACUGGGCGUAAAGCGAGCGUAGGCGGAUUUGUAAGUUGGAGGUGAAAUCCCAGAGCUUAACUCUGGAACUGCCUUCAAAACUACAUUUCUUGAGUUUGGUAGAGGAGAGUGGAAUUCCUAGUGUAGAGGUGAAAUUCGUAGAUAUUAGGAGGAACACCAGUGGCGAAGGCGACUCUCUGGGCCAAUACUGACGCUGAGGUUCGAAAGCAUGGGUAGCGAACAGGAUUAGAUACCCUGGUAGUCCAUGCAGUAAACGAUGAGUGCUAGAUGUUGGGAAUUUAAAUUUCCAGUAUCGCAGUUAACGCGUUAAGCACUCCGCCUGGGAAGUACGGCCGCAAGGCUAAAACUCAAAUGAAUUGACGGGGACCCGCACAAGCGGUGGAUCAUGUGGUUUAAUUCGAAGAUACGCGAAGAACCUUACCGGCCCUUGACAUACCAAUCGCGGACUUAAGAGAUUAAGUCUUUCACUUCGGGUGGAUUGGAUACAGGUGCUGCAUGGCUGUCGUCAGCUCGUGUCGUGAGAUGUUGGGUUAAGUCCCGCAACGAGCGCAACCCUUACCUUCAAUUGCCAGCACGUUAUGGUGGGAACUUUGAAGGAACUGCCGGUGAUAAGCCGGAGGAAGGUGGGGAUGACGUCAAGUCCUCAUGGCCCUUACGGGCCGGGCUACACACGUGAUACAAUGGUAACUACAAAAGGCAGCGAAGGAGCGAUCUGGAGCAAAUCUCUAAAAGUUACCUCAGUUCGGAUUGCACUCUGCAACUCGAGUGCAUGAAGUUGGAAUCGCUAGUAAUCGUAGAUCAGCGCGCUACGGUGAAUACGUUCCCGGGUCUUGUACACACCGCCCGUCACACCAUGGGAGUUGGUUUUACCUGAAGCUGGUUCGCUAACCGUAAGGAGGCAGCCAACCACGGUAAGAUUAGCGACUGGGGUGAAGUCGUAACAAGGUAACCGUAGGGGAACCUGCGGUUGGAUCACCUCCUUUCUAAG
rnacentral:rRNA from 1 species